GGAUACCCUAAUAUGUUAUACAUUAUCUGUUCGCGACGAUAAAUCGAAACAAUUUUACUCCAAUUUAAAAAGAUAGCACUUUUUUUUAAAGGUAAUGUGACUGGGAAGGUACUUUAAAGAGGUAAAACGGGAAAAACGUAAGAAAACCGGGAAAAUCGGUGCAAUAUUAAACAAAUAUGAUGUGUUUAUAGUUGACAGAGUAUAUCGUUAUCAACUGAACUCCGCUC